rnacentral:rRNA from 1 species
AGUGAACGCUGGCGGUAGGCCUAACACAUGCAAGUCGAACGGCAGCACAGUAAGAGCUUGCUCUUACGGGUGGCGAGUGGCGGACGGGUGAGGUAUACAUCGGAAUCUACUUUUUCGUGGGGGUUAACGUAGGGAAACUUACGCUAAUACCGCAUACGACCUACGGGUGAAAGCAGGGGAUCUUCUGACCUUGCGCGAUUGAAUGAGCCGAUGUCGGAUUAGCUAGUUGGCGGGGUAAAGGCCCACCAAGGCGACGAUCCGUAGCUGGUCUGAGAGGAUGAGCAGCAACAGUGGAACGGAGAAAAGGACAAGAAUAAUACGGGAGGAAGCAGAGGGGAAUAGUGGAAAAGGGGCGAAAGCAGGAUACAGAAAUACCGAGUGGGGGAAGAAGGAAUUCGGGUUGUAAAGACAUUUUGUUGGGAAAGAAAAGCAGCAGGUUAAUACCCCGCUGUUCUGACGGUACCCAAAGAAUAAGCACCGGCUAACUUCGUG